rnacentral:rRNA from 1 species
GGUCAAGCUACUAAGGGCGUACGGUGGAUGCCUUGGCGCAGGACGGCGAUGAAGGACGUGGCAAGCUGCGAUAAGCCUCGGAUAGCCGCAAACAGGCUCCGACCCGAGGAUUUCCGAAUGGGGCAACCCGUCUAGGGUAAUCCUAGAUCACGCAAGGUGAAUACAUAGCCUUGCGUAGCCAACCCGGGGAAGUGAACCAUCUCAGUACCCGGAGGAAAAGAAAGCAAAUGCGACUCCCCUAGUAGCGGCGAGCGAACGGGGAUGAGCCCAAACCUCUUUUAUGUCAAGUCUGUCGACGUUGUAGAAGAGGGGUUGUAGGGCCGGACGUGACACUGGACAGCAGUGUCGGGAAGUUACAAAUCGAUCUCUUAGCCGAACAGUCUGGGACGGCUGGCGAUACAGGGUGAAAGCCCCGUAGGCGAAAAGAGUGAGACUUCCUUGUUCGGUUCCUGAGUACCGCGGGGCACGUGAAACCCUGCGGGAAUCUGGGAGGACCAUCUCCCAAGGCUAAGUACGUGCCUGCGACCGAUAGUGAACCAGUACCGUGAGGGAAAGGUGAAAAGAACCCCUAUAGGGGAGUGAAAUAGUACCUGAAACCGUGCGCUUACAAGCAGUUGGAGGGCGUUUCACCGGGGCAACCCGGUAAGCCUGACAGCGUGCCUUUUGCAUAAUGAGCCGGCUAGUUUUUCUCAGCGGCAAGGUUAAGCGUUAAGCGAGCCGUAGCGAAAGCAAGUCUGAAUAGGGCGAAUUAGUCGCUGGGAAAAGACGCGAAGCGAGGUGAUCUACCCAUGGCCAGGGUGAAAGUCGGGUAACACCGACCGGAGGCCCGAACCAGUGUUGGUUGAAAACAGCUUGGAUGAGCUGUGGGUAGGGGUGAAAGGCUAAUCAAACCUCGUGAUUGCCCGUUCUCUUCGAAAUAGCUUUAGGGCUAGCGUCGUGUAUAACUUCCGGGGGUAAAGUACUGAAUGGACUAGGGCCUUUACCGAGGUACCGAAUCCAAUCCAACUCUGAAUACCGGAAAGUUCAAUCACGGCAGUCAGACAGUGGGGGCUAAGCUCCAUUGUCAAAAGGGAAACAGCCCAGACCGUCAGCUAAGGUCCCAAAGUGCCGUCUUAGUGGUAAAGGAUGUGGAUCCGCACAGACAACCAGGAGGUUGGCUUAGAAGCAGCCAUCCUUUAAAGAAAGCGUAAUAGCUCACUGGUCAAGUGGAUCUGCGCCGAUAAUUCAACGGGGCUCAAGACGGCCACCGAAGCUACGGACUUGUUGGUGAUACGUCACUAACAAUUGGUAGAAGAGCGUUCCAUACUCGAUGAAGCCCGACCGACAAGGACGAGUGGAGGGUAUGGAAGAGACCCUGCCGGCACAAGUAGCGAUAAAACGUGUGAAAACCAUGUUCGCCGUAAACCUAAGGUUUCCUGAGCUAGGUCAAUCCGCUCAGGGUUAGUCGGGCCUAAGGCAAGGCCGAAAGGCGUAGCCGAUGGGAAACGGGUCAACAUUCCCGUACCGUCAUGCAACGAUAAAGACCGAUGGGGUGACGCAGAAGGGCAGAUCAGCCUACGAUUGGUUGUGUAGGUUCAAGUAUGUACGAAGGCUUCGUUGGUAAAUCCGUGAAGCUUUUUCCGAGAUACGAUGUCAAGAGCUUCGGCUCAUAAAGUGAUCGAUCCCAUGCUGCCAAGAAAAGCCUCUAAGGAGUUGUAGGGCGACCGUACCGCAAACCGACACAGGUAGGUGAGGAGAAAAUCCUAAGGCGCUAGUGAGAAUUCUCGUUUAGGAACUAGGCACAUUAACCCCGUAACUUCGGGAGAAGGGGUGCCUCUUUGGGUCAGGAGACUUGCUUUCCAAAGCCCAAGGGGGUCGCAGCGAAUCGGCUCAGGCGACUGUUUACUAAAAACACAGGGCUCUGCAAAGUCAUAAAAACGACGUAUAGGGUCUGACGCCUGCCCGGUGCCGGAAGGUUAAAGAGAGGGGUUAGACGCAAGGCGAAGCUCUGAACUGAAGCCCCGGUAAACGGCGGCCGUAACUAUAACGGUCCUAAGGUAGCGAAAUUCCUUGUCGGGUAAGUUCCGACCUGCACGAAUGGCGUAACGAUCUGAGCGCUGUCUCAACGAGGAGCACUGCGAAUCUGUAGUACCGGUGAAGAUGCCGGUUUCCCGCAACUAGACGGAAAGACCCCGUGCACCUUUACUGCACCCUAGCCUUGAACUUGGGUGCGUUCUGCGCAGGAUAGGUGGGAGGCUUUGAACCCGGGAUUUUGGUCUCGGGGGAGCCAACGGUGAGAUACCACCCUUAACGCACUUAGGUUCUAACCUGCUCCCCUAUAUCGGGGAGAGAGACACGGCUAGGCGGGUAGUUUGACUGGGGCGGUCGCCUCCCAAAGAGUAACGGAGGCGCUCGAAGGUUCCCUCAGGCUGUUUGGAAAUCAGCCGGCGAGUGUAAAGGCACAAGGGAGCUUGACUGCGAGACCUACAAGUCAAGCAGGUGCGAAAGCAGGACUUAGUGAUCUGGUGGUUCCGCAUGGAAGGGCCAUCACUUAACGGAUAAAAGGUACGCCGGGGAUAACAGGCUGAUCUGGUCCAAGAGUUCACAUCGACGACCAGGUUUGGCACCUCGAUGUCGGCUCAUCGCAUCCUGGAGCUGUAGAAGGUUCCAAGGGUUGGGCUGUUCGCCCAUUAAAGCGGUACGUGAGCUGGGUUUAGAACGUCGCGAGACAGUUCGGUCCCUAUCUGUUGUGGGCGAAGGAGAUUUGAGGGGAGCUGUCCUUAGUACGAGAGGACCGGGAUGGACGAACCUCUAGUGCACCAGUUGUCACGCCAGUGGCAUCGCUGGGUAGCUACGUUCGGUAGGGAUAAACGCUGAAAGCAUCUAAGCGUGAAGCCCACCCCAAGAUGAGAUCUCCCGCAGGGUAACCUGCCUAAAGACCCCUGGAAGACUACCAGGUUGAUAGGCCCGAGGUGUAAGGAACGAGCGCAAGCACAGUUCUUUAGCUGACGGGUACUAAUCGGUCGUGAGGCUUGACCAU